GCUCAGGUGGUGGAAUGGCAGACACGCUAGAUUCAGGUUCUAGUGCCGAUGAGGCGUAAGGGUUCAAGUCCCUUCCUGAGCACCA
rnacentral:tRNA from 1 species